GACACAGUGGUGAAUUGGUAAAUGCUGUCGCCUAACAUCAAUUAGCCCCAUAUCUCUAAAAACGGUUGUCCUAGGGCUUGCGGGUUCGAGUGCCGUCUGUGUCG